rnacentral:rRNA from 1 species
AAUGAACGUUGGCGGCGUGGAUUAGGCAUGCAAGUCGUGCGGCAGCAGGCCCCGCAAGGGGCGCUGGCGAGCGGCGAAAGGGAUAGUAAUGUGUGGAUACCUGCACUGGGGACGGGGAUAGCUGCUGGAAACGGCAAUUAAUACCCGAUGAUGUCUCCGGACCAAAGGUGUGAUUCCGCCCUAGGAGGGGUCCACAUCCUAUUAGCUAGUUGGUGAGGUAACGGCUCACCAAGGGCCCGAUGUGUAGCGGGUGUGAGAGCACGACCCGCAUCACUGGGACUGAGACACUGCCCAGACACCUACGGGUGGCUGCAGUCGAGGAUCUUCGGCAAUGAGCGAAAGCUUGACCGAGCGACGCCGCGUGCGGGAUGAAGGCCUUCGGGUUGUAAACCGCUUUCGGAGGGGAGGAAAUCUAGGGGGGAUCACCCUUCUAGUUGACCCAUCCUAGGAAGAAGGACGGGCUAAGUUCGUGCCAGCAGCCGCCGUAAUAC